rnacentral:lncRNA from 1 species
ACCCAGAAUAAAAGAACACUGAUGACCAGCACCCAGCCUGGUAUCCAGCUUACCGUGGCCAAGCUCAUCAGCUGAGAGGAGGUUCUCACUCAACAAAAGACAUGUAUGAGAUGUGACUUGUGACAUUGCCUCAAGACCACAAACCCCUCUCCUUGAUCCCACUGGCCCUAUGAUGCCCCCCUUUCCUGGCAGAAGGAGCAAUCUUCUAGGGAGCCCACUGCCUGUCCAAUUUCUUCCAGCAGCACAACUUGCAGACAGCAAAGCAAAUGUGCUACAGCCCAAGUCCAUCGUGGUAAACCAAAGCAACAACCUGCACAGCAGGAGGGUACACUGUGGUGCUCCAGGAAAGAAGCAACCAGAGAAACAGAGAGGAUUCUUCUUUCAGCAACAGAAGAAAGCUGGAUUCAUGAGGGACAAAGCACCCAGAGAUCAUUUUCUUUUGAAGACAACAUAAGAACAGCAGAAGUUUUUUGCCUGCCCAGCCAAAACUCCAACUAGUGUCAGAUCACAGCUUAACUGCUGGGGAAGGUCAAUGGAAUCAGAGUAAAGGAGGUAAGGGAUAUUUGUGAAUAUAAUACAGCCAUUCCAGCUGUGCCUUCUCCCUGGACA